GACGCGCGCCAUCAUUAGCGGUCUGAUAUCGCUCGACCUCCACCUGCUGCUUUCGGCGUUGGGAUGACCGGUCGAUGAUCUAAACAGGCUGUCCUGCGUGUUUGGGGAGGUGGGCGGCGUUGGACUGGAUUCAGAGAUUUGCUGGAUGGAGGCAGGGGAGGGUUGAACUGACCGCUCCGCUCAUGUGACAGUCUGAUAGCGUGCGGGAAGCAUGUGCGCUUUGCGCGUUUCGCUUGGACCGGUGACGCGGCGGCUUUGAUGAGCCGGUUCUGCUGGAAGGAGGAGGUUUCGGACUAGUCCCCAUAUAGAUAUCAGCCUUUAUUUAUUGUGAGCUGCCGCUGAAGGAGAGUUGGGGACGCUUAACGGUAUUACCAGCCGUGAAAGAUCACUGAUCGUGUGUAUCGUUGUCAGGAUUCUCAGGAUAUAAGAACGAUAAACAUCAUGUUAUGCUACAGGCGUCUUUGAUCGUUUUCCAUCAUAUUAUUAUAAGUUUUUCAUUCUGUUUGUGAGUUCGCAGCUGCAUGAUUAUGGGUGAACGCAUCU